rnacentral:lncRNA from 1 species
CUCAGUGCCCAAGCCAGGUUGUCGGGGGCGGGGUGCUGACCUCCUGAUGAGCUGCACUGGAGGAUGAGAAUGCCGCAGACACAGCCACCCCUAAAAGUGAUCCUCCACAGACAGGCCAGCUCAGCAGGGGCAGGACAGUGGCCACAUUCCAGGCAGAGAGAGGGGAGCGAGGCCUGCCUAUGGGCAGGCCACUCUGAAACUUCUGCAGCCUUGGCAAGGAGAAGUGACAGAGCCCAGUCUGAGCAAACCAAAUGUGGGAGAUUAAGGACCUCUGCAAUUUGUCCCUCCUUCUCCCAGGGAGGGUAGAGGCCAAUUCCUCUGCCUUUGAAUUUGGACUGGCCUUGUGAUCCGCAUGACCAAUAAGAUGUGGCAGAAGUACACCUGGGACUCCAGAGGUCCAAUCACAAGAAGCCUCACAUCUCCCACACAGGUGUUUUAGAACACUGGUUCUGGGGGCCCCUAGGCCACCAGGCUGGAGAAGCCACAUGUGGAUACUCUGGUGGCAGUCUCAGCUAAGCCCACCUCCCAGACACCUCCACAAGGUGCCAGAUGUGUGAGUGAAGUUGUUUUGGACCCCCCAGAUCAGCACAUCAUGCAGCUGAAUACCACUGAGUAUUCCAUUAAAAACAUAGGGAACAGAAGAACCACCCAGCCAAGCACUGCCCAACCUCUGAUCUGCAAAAUGAGAUAUAAUAAAAUGGUGGUUGUUUUAAAACUAAAUGUUUAAUUAAUUUGUUACAGGCCAACAAAUAACCUUUACGGUGACUGAAUGAUGGAUUAAUUGACUUGCUGAUUCAUUCAUUCAACAUAUAUUCAUUAAAACCUACUCUGAGGCAGGACCCCUUAAAGAAAUAGCAGAGACAAAUAAUUCACUCUCCUUGUCCUCAGGAAGCUUCUGGGCUGGUUCCUUGGUGCCUACCCAGUUUGUGAUGAGUCCGCACCUGUGUUUGCCAGCUUUCUUCUCUGGGGCCUGCCACUUUCUGGGCUUCACUGUCAACAUUCCCUGUCUAGAUCCUGCCCCUGUCUUUAUUCUCUCUGGGUGAGGAUAAAUUCAUGUGGGAUGUUCUGCCCCUAGAACAAGUGUUAUCGUGCUCUAAAAGGUCCUCUAUAUACUAAAAUAAACAAGGGAAUUAAAAUAUUACACUAGAAAAAUAGUUACAAAAGAAGGUAAUAAUGGAGGAAUACAGGAAGAAAAACUAUAUAAGAUGCAGAAAAUAAAUGACAAAAUUGUUUAUGUAAAUCUUGCCUUAUCAAUAAUUAUAUUAAAUGUAGAUUAAACACUUAAAUCAAAAGACAAAGACUGGUAGAAUGGAUAACAAAAAACAUAAUAUAAUUACAUUCUGUCUACCAGAGAUUCACUUUAGAUUCAAAAACACAAAUAGGUUGAAAAAUGAAAGGAUGGAAAAAGAUAUACAAAUGGUAACCAAAAUGAGUUAAAGUAGCUGUAACUAAAAUCAGAUAAAAUAAACUUUAAGAUAUACAUUGUUACUAGGGACUGAGAAGGACAUUUCAUAAUGAUAAAAGGGACAAUCCAUUAAGAAGACACAACAAUAUGCUGGGUGUGGUGGCUCAUGCCUGUAAUCCCAGCACUUUGGAAGGCUGAGGUGGGCGGAUCACAAGGUCAGGAGAUCAAGACCAUCCUGGAUAACACGGUGAAACUCCAUCUCUACUAAAAAUACAAAAAGUUAGCCAGACGUGGUGGUGGGCGCCUGUAGUCCCAGCUACUCGGGAGGCUGAGGCAGGGGAAUGGCGUGAACCCAGGAGGCGGAGCUUGCAGUGAGCCGAGAUGACGCCACUGUACUCCAGCCUGGGCAACAGAGCAAGACUCCGUCUCAAAAAAAAAAAAAAAA